rnacentral:rRNA from 1 species
AGCAGCCGCGGUAAUUCCAGCUCCAAUAGCGUAUAUUAAAGUUGUUGCAGUUAAAAAGCUCGUAGUUGAAUUUCGGGAUCAAUACGUCGGUCGUGCCUCUGGUAUGUACUGGUGUUAUUGAUUCCUCCUUUCUGAUGAACCAUGAUGUCAUUAAUUUGGUGUUGUGGGGAGUCAGGACUGUUACUUUGAAAAAAUUAGAGUGUUUAAAGCAGGCCUACGCUUGAAUACAUUAGCAUGGAAUAAUGAAAUAGGACGUUCGAACCUAUUUUGUUGGUUUCUAGGAUCAACGUAAUGAUUAAUAGGGAUAGUUGGGGGCAUUAGUAUUCAAUUGUCAGAGGUGAAAUUCUUGGAUUUAUUGAAGACUAACUACUGCGAAAGCAUUUGCCAAGGAUGUUUUCAUUAAUCAAGAACGAAAGUUAGGGGAUCGAAGACGAUCAGAUACCGUCGUAGUCUUAACCAUAAACUAUGCCGACUAGGGAUCGGAUGAUGUUAAUUUUUUAAUGACUCAUUCGGCGCCUUACG